rnacentral:rRNA from 1 species
AUUGAACGCCGGCGGCAGGCCUAACACAUGCAAGUCGAGCGGUAGCACAGAGAGCUUGCUCUCGGGUGACGAGCGGCGGACGGGUGAGUAAUGUCUGGGAAACUGCCUGAUGGAGGGGGAUAACUACUGGAAACGGUAGCUAAUACCGCAUAAUGUCGCAAGACCAAAGUGGGGGACCUUCGGGCCUCAUGCCAUCAGAUGUGCCCAGAUGGGAUUAGCUAGUAGGUGGGGUAACGGCUCACCUAGGCGACGAUCCCUAGCUGGUCUGAGAGGAUGACCAGCCACACUGGAACUGAGACACGGUCCAGACUCCUACGGGAGGCAGCAGUGGGGAAUAUUGCACAAUGGGCGCAAGCCUGAUGCAGCCAUGCCGCGUGUGUGAAGAAGGCCUUCGGGUUGUAAAGCACUUUCAGCGGGGAGGAAGGCGGUGAGGUUAAUAACCUCAUCGAUUGACGUUACCCGCAGAAGAAGCACCGGCUAACUCCGUGCCAGCAGCCGCGGUAAUACGGAGGGUGCAAGCGUUAAUCGGAAUUACUGGGCGUAAAGCGCACGCAGGCGGUCUGUCAAGUCGGAUGUGAAAUCCCCGGGCUCAACCUGGGAACUGCAUUCGAAACUGGCAGGCUAGAGUCUUGUAGAGGGGGGUAGAAUUCCAGGUGUAGCGGUGAAAUGCGUAGAGAUCUGGAGGAAUACCGGUGGCGAAGGCGGCCCCCUGGACAAAGACUGACGCUCAGGUGCGAAAGCGUGGGGAGCAAACAGGAUUAGAUACCCUGGUAGUCCACGCCGUAAACGAUGUCGAUUUGGAGGUUGUGCCCUUGAGGCGUGGCUUCCGGAGCUAACGCGUUAAAUCGACCGCCUGGGGAGUACGGCCGCAAGGUUAAAACUCAAAUGAAUUGACGGGGGCCCGCACAAGCGGUGGAGCAUGUGGUUUAAUUCGAUGCAACGCGAAGAACCUUACCUGGUCUUGACAUCCACAGAACUUUCCAGAGAUGGAUUGGUGCCUUCGGGAACUGUGAGACAGGUGCUGCAUGGCUGUCGUCAGCUCGUGUUGUGAAAUGUUGGGUUAAGUCCCGCAACGAGCGCAACCCUUAUCCUUUGUUGCCAGCGGUUAGGCCGGGAACUCAUAGGAGACUGCCAGUGAUAAACUGGAGGAAGGUGGGGAUGACGUCAAGUCAUCAUGGCCCUUACGACCAGGGCUACACACGUGCUACAAUGGCAUAUACAAAGAGAAGCGACCUCGCGAGAGCAAGCGGACCUCAUAAAGUAUGUCGUAGUCCGGAUUGGAGUCUGCAACUCGACUCCAUGAAGUCGGAAUCGCUAGUAAUCGUAGAUCAGAAUGCUACGGUGAAUACGUUCCCGGGCCUUGUACACACCGCCCGUCACACCAUGGGAGUGGGUUGCAAAAGAAGUAGGUAGCUUAACCUUCGGGAGGGCGCUUACCACUUUGUGAUUCAUGACUGGGGUG